UAGGCCCUGAAUCAAGACUGACAGUUUGCUGUAUGUAGCUGUUUGUGUCAAACAGGAGCUAAGAGCAAUUUUCCUAUGGUCUUUUGGCCAUUCAGCACCCCAAUGGGAAUGGCCAGUUCAGUUGGAAGACACAAAG